rnacentral:rRNA from 1 species
UACGUAGGGUGCAAGCGUUGUCCGGAAUUAUUGGGCGUAAAGAGCUCGUAGGCGGUUUGUCGCGUCGGCUGUGAAAACUCGGGGCUCAACCCCGAGCCUGCAGUCGAUACGGGCAGACUAGAGUGCUGUAGGGGAGACUGGAAUUCCUGGUGUAGCGGUGGAAUGCGCAGAUAUCAGGAGGAACACCGAUGGCGAAGGCAGAUCUCUGGGCCGUAACUGACGCUGAGGAGCGAAAGCAUGGGGGAGCGAACAGG